UGGGGAAUAUUGGACAAUGGGCGCAAGCCUGAUCCAGCCAUGCCGCGUGAGUGACGAAGGCCUUAGGGUUGUAAAGCUCUUUUGGCGGGGAAGAUAAUGACGGUACCCGCAGAAUAAGCUCCGGCUAACUUCGUGCCAGCAGCCGCGGUAAUACGAAGGGAGCUAGCGUUGUUCGGAAUCACUGGGCGUAAAGCGCACGUAGGCGGACUUUCAAGUCAGGGGUGAAAUCCCGGGGCUCAACCUCGGAACUGCCUUUGAUACUGUUCGUCUCUAGUCCGGAAGAGGUGAGUGGAAUUCCUAGUGUAGAGGUGAAAUUCGUAGAUAUUAGGAAGAACACCGGUGGCGAAGGCGGCUCACUGGUCCGGUACUGACGCUGAGGUGCGAAAGCGUGGGG
rnacentral:rRNA from 1 species